rnacentral:rRNA from 1 species
GAUGAACGCUGGCGGCGUGCCUAAUACAUGCAAGUCGAGCGAACAGACGAGGAGCUUGCUCCUCUGACGUUAGCGGCGGACGGGUGAGUAACACGUGGAUAACCAACCUAUAAGACUGGGAUAACUUCGGGAAACCGGAGCUAAUACCGGAUAAUAUAUUGAACCGCAUGGUUCAAUAGUGAAAGACGGUUUUGCUGUCACUUAUAGAUGGAUCCGCGCCGCAUUAGCUAGUUGGUAAGGUAACGGCUUACCAAGGCAACGAUGCGUAGCCGACCUGAGAGGGUGAUCGGCCACACUGGAACUGAGACACGGUCCAGACUCCUACGGGAGGCAGCAGUAGGGAAUCUUCCGCAAUGGGCGAAAGCCUGACGGAGCAACGCCGCGUGAGUGAUGAAGGUCUUCGGAUCGUAAAACUCUGUUAUUAGGGAAGAACAAAUGUGUAAGUAACUAUGCACGUCUUGACGGUACCUAAUCAGAAAGCCACGGCUAACUACGUG